rnacentral:rRNA from 1 species
CCUACGGGUGGCAGCAGUGAGGAAUAUUGGUCAAUGGACGAGAGUCUGAACCAGCCAAGUAGCGUGCAGGAUGACUGCCCUAUGGGUUGUAAACUUCUUUUAUAUGGGGAUAAAACGUUCCACGUGUGGGAUUUUGUAUGUACCAUAUGAAUAAGGAUCGGCUAACUCCGUGCCAGCAGCCGCGGUAAUACGGAGGAUCCGAGCGUUAUCCGGAUUUAUUGGGUUUAAAGGGAGCGUAGGUGGAUUGUUAAGUCAGUUGUGAAAGCUUGAGGCUCAACCUUAAAAUUGCAGUUGAAACUGGCAGUCUUGAGUAUAGUAGAGGUAGGCGGAAUGUGUGGUGUAGCGGUGAAAUGCUUAGAGAUCACGCAGAACUCCGAUUGCGAAGGCAGUUCACUGGACUGCAACUGACACUGAGGCUCGAAAGUGUGGGUAUCAAACAGGAUUAGAUACCCCUGUAGUC